AGCUCGUAGGCGGUUUGUCGCGUCUGCCGUGAAAGUCCGGGGCUCAACUCCGGAUCUGCGGUGGGUACGGGCAGACUAGAGUGAUGUAGGGGAGACUGGAAUUCCUGGUGUAGCGGUGAAAUGCGCAGAUAUCAGGAGGAACACCGAUGGCGAAGGCAGGUCUCUGGGCAUUAACUGACGCUGAGGAGCGAAAGCAUGGGGAGCGAACAGGAUUAGAUACCCUGGUAGUCCAUGCCGUAAACGUUGGGCACUAGGUGUGGGGGACAUUCCACGUUUUCCGCGCCGUAGCUAACGCAUUAAGUGCCCCGCCUGGGGAGUACGGCCGCAAGGCUAAAACUCAAAGGAAUUGACGGGGGCCCGCACAAGCGGCGGAGCAUGCGGAUUAAUUCGAUGCAACGCGAAGAACCUUACCAAGGCUUGACAUGGGCCGGACCGGGCUGGAAACAGUCCUUCCCCUUUGGGGCCGGUUCACAGGUGAUGCAUGGUUGUCGUCAGCUCGUGUCGUGAGAUGUUGGGUUAAGUCCCGCAACGAGCGCAACCCUCGUUCCAUGUUGCCAGCGCGUAAUGGCGGGGACUCAUGGGAGACUGCCGGGGUCAACUCGGAGGAAGGUGGGGACGACGUCAAAUCAUCAUGCCCCUUAUGUCUUGGGCUUCACGCAUGCUACAAUGGCCGGUACAAAGGGUUGCGAUACUGUGAGGUGGAGCUAAUCCCAAAAAGCCGGUCUCAGUUCGGAUUGGGGUCUGCAACUCGACCCCAUGAAGUCGGAGUCGCUAGUAAUCGCAGAUCAGCAACGCUGCGGUGAAUACGUUCCCGGGCCUUGUACACACCGCCCGUCAAGUCACGAAAGUUGGUAACACCCGAAGCCGGUGGCCUAACCCCUUGUGGGAGGGAG
rnacentral:rRNA from 1 species